rnacentral:rRNA from 1 species
UACGUAGGGGGCUAGCGUUGUCCGGAAUCAUUGGGCGUAAAGAGCGUGUAGGCGGUCCGGUAAGUCCGUUGUGAAAGUCAGGGGCUCAACCCUGGGAUGCCGACCGAUACUGUCGGACUAGAGUUCGGAAGAGGCGAGUGGAAUUCCCGGUGUAGCGGUGAAAUGCGCAGAUAUCGGGAGGAACACCUAUGGCGAAGGCAGCUCGCUGGGACGUUACUGACGCUGAGACGCGAAAGCGUGGGGAGCAAACAGG